CUCAUCCCCUCUACAGAAAGCUUUUCAACAACCUCCAUGUAUCUCCUCUUAAAGAUCGCUAAGCACUAGAUCCUCCCGACCUCUUUAGUUUCUUGCAAAUUUUGAAUCGGAGUUUGUUUAAAGUUCAGAAUCAUUGGUGUUCGGGUGUAGAUUUGUGACCUAAAGAUUCUCUAGUUCACUGCCUUGAAACAGGUCACUACUAUUCUCUUUUCGCUUUGUAUUGUUUCUACGUUAUACUGUAUUCCACCAUCAUUUUGAUCCCGCUAUUAGAUACGAUGAAAUAACCACUGCCUUCAAUUUCUUUAUUUAUUUUCUAUCAUGUUUCGGGUUUGGAGUUUUGUUUCAAUAUAGUUGUUGAUUGUGAAGCAUGAACUAGAAUAUCUUUGGACAAUAGAAAUAGCCUUUUGAGGCAUGUUUUAAAACCUUACAUAUCUUUGGACAAUAGAAAGAGCCUUUUGAAGCAUGUUUUAAAACCUUACAUAUAGUAAAAAUCAUGUUAGACAAUUUAUCUCUAAAAUAUUGUGCAUUAUAAUUUCCUUGUCUAUGAGCAUGUCCUGUUUUCUUAGUUAAAAAGUUCUCCUACUUUUUGUAAAAGAUACUUCAUAAGGAUUUCAUUGUCCCUUCUGCUCAUUCGGAACUUUUAUAAGUAAUAGUUAUGUUUCUAUUUUUUGUGAGAAUUCUGGUUUAUAAAUAUGUUAGGCUUUCUCUAGUGUGAAUUGCGCCUACUAGCCGAGAGUGUUUUUUAGGGUUCUCUAAUGAUUAGUUUGUUGUUUGAAAUCAAGAAUCUCAUUUUCUUAUUUCUCUUUCUAUCUCGUUGGAUACUCACACACUGUCAUUUACUUUACCAUGUCUAGUUAAUUUUCAUAUUAAAUCUGUCUCGGUUCUUAUCCUUUUUCUUUGUUUUCUUUGUUUGCAUGAACAUUGGAGUCGAAGAGUCUCGUGAUGAGACUCGACGUCGCAAUCAGACUUUUCCAAUCAUGGAGCUAACACUUAUCUCUUUCGAGUCCACUUAAACUCCCUUGCACUAUACAUAAAUAGUGGAGGAAAUAGGCAUCUUAUUCUCCAUUUUUUACUCGUUACUGAUUCUAUUAGGAUUUAUGUUGUGUUAUUUAUUUAUUUAAUUUUAUUUGUCUUUUUACUUUAACUUUCCUUGAUUUUGUUGAUAGAGAAUUAGGCCUAAAAUACUUAAUUUUAGAAUCGGUAAUUUUCGGUAAUAUAGUUCGGAUGCAUGUCGCUAGCUUUUCUCCUAUAUAUAUAUGGUGAUUUGUGUCUAGACUAUAUUUGAAAUUUUGAAGAAGCAAAAUUUAGGUAUGUAGUUUUCUUUUUCUUCACAAAAUGACCUUUUUACAAAAACAAAAAAGGAGGAAUGAAAAGAAUUCAAUUUUAUUUUUUUUCUUAAUCUUUUGAUUAUCCCUUGUUCCAUUUAAAAGUAUUUCAUUAAUGCGAGUGACUCAUUUUCUUAAAUUAAAUAGUAAAAUGCCAAAUGAUAGAACAAUUUCAGUUUCUGGUGUUGGCAACUGGCAUUUAAGUUUCGCUGUUAUUUUUUUAAAUGCAGAAUUAAGCAUUGAGCAAAACAUAACUUUCUUUUAGCAAAAAUAACUUUUAAAGAGGUUAUAAAGUACAAAGUUAUAAUCUUGCAAAAAAUACAAAUUUUGAGAUAGUUUAAAGAAUUUAAAAUUGUAUAUUUUAAUUCUUAACUUUUAUUCACUUAAAAAAAGUGAAAUGAAGAUGUUUCAACAAUGGAAAACACAAAUAGCUUUCAAAAAUGCAUUCUCGAGAAAGAAUAAAACCAAUGUUCCGUAAUUGAAACUCUUCUCAUUCAUUUUUCUUUUAGAAAUAUAUUUGUUAAUAAUAAGGUAUUAAAUGUUUUUUUUGCUAAUUACACAUCUUCUUCUAAAAUUUUUAAACAUGGCAUAUGCUCUCGUCUUAUUCCAAUUUUAUUCUCAUCCAGACUUUGUCUCACUUGCUACCUUUUUCUUUUCCUCAUUUUAUAUAAUAAAUAAAAAACGAAUUCUUUCUUUAAAACAAGUAAAAAAUGUUUUUUUAUAUCUAACUUAAGUUUGAUCGGUUAACCAUAGUUAGCGGAUCCUUUAGGAUGCCUAAUCCCCUCCCUUUAGGAUAAUUAGAGCCUUUACCUAGAAUUGCUUAGUUAAGUAGAUCUAAAAAUGAAGUUUUAAUUUAUUUUAUUCACUUAGUUUAUAGUGGGUGUCCUAAUUCACCAUAGAACUAAUUAGGUGGUGACUUCUCUUAUUUAACUCAGAAGUUUUCAAUAUAUUUUACACUAUUUUGAUCUCGUAUUAAAAUGGGGUAUAAUAUCUUGGCAACUUCACUGGGGACAUUAGGUUCUUAACCAUAACAAGCUUAGGUUAAUAAGUAAGUUUUUCUAAUAUUUAUUUAUUUUACCUUUUCUGCGUUAUGUGUUUAUCAUGUUUAUGUGAUGAAAGCUAUUUAUUUACUAUUACUUUGUAUGAAUUAUUUGUUAUUGCUUUAUAUAAAAUGUCAUUCCGUUCAUAUUUCUUUCAUUCGAAAAAACUAACACAGUCACACAUACACGUGAGGUGUGUUUUGCACACUCGCAAUUUCUUUCAAAUUCCAAAUUUUAGGAGAGUUGGCGUAUGUAUGGUUUGUCCAGAUAUUUUUGUAUGUGACUGCGUAGCCUUCUCGCUCGAGUUGUCUACUCGGGAACCUUGUGUUUAGAAAGCCAAAUCUUAGAAGAACUUAAGAUAGAACUUCCCUAGAUAUAGGCCAUGCAUGCAUAAGCCUUAGGUGGUUUGACCCAUGGUGUCAUUCCACGAAUUUAGAAAAUGCCCUUAUGUCAAAUGGGUUUACGACCUGACGACAACCACUCAUAUUAUAUGCAUUUGCUAAUGAUAAACGAAUCCAAGCCUAAUUGUGACACCGCGAGUUUGGAAAAUGUGUACUUAUUUUAUUGUAUUUACAUUGUAGGAUGGAUUUAGUUCCCCAAGUUCCAAAAAUUAGAAUGGUCGAAGGUGUUCCACACAAGUUAAGGAUAUGGUGGGAAAAUUUUGACUUGACUAAAAAGUUGGCGAUCACAAGAAAAUUGGGGUGCCUUCCUACACUCUUUAAGAUCUCCCCCGAUAAGCAUGUGGUUAGAGCAUUAAUUCUAUUUUGAGACCCAGAUCGAGUUGUCUUUGCAUUCAAAGACUUUGAAAUCACCCCCAUAUUAGAGAAGAUUUAUAACUUCACUAAUUUGAAGUAUCAAGGAAGAGGUCAGUCAAUUAGGGAAGAAAUUUCUUCGCUACUUAGGAUUGAAGAACACUGAUGAACUCUGUUGCUUUUAAAACAAUUGGGUUUCUUUGGAUUAUUUAUACGAGACAUAUGGUCGUCAAGAUAGUUAUAAGCUAUUCAAGAAAGAAUUCACUUGCACUGCUACCCAUUGGCGGGUUGGACAUCCAAUUGCAUUUGCCUUUGCCUUGCUAGGGACUUUGGUAUUUCCACAAGAAUAUGGAAAGAUCAGUACUUGCAUAUGUUUUAUGGCUCGAGCACUUUUUAAAGGAGUUGAUGGCGCAGAAAUCACCUUGGUUGCUAUGAUCUUGGCAAAAAUAUUUUGUGCACUUGAAAAGUGUAAAAUAGUCAAAACAAAGUUCUUUGAAGGUUGCAAUCUCCUUCUGCAGAUAUGGGCAAUAGAGAAUUUCUACAAGCGUGAUAAUAUGACUGACAUAAUGUUUAGCACUUCACAUAAGAUUGACACUCAUGAUGACAGAAUGAGGAGGUUUGUAUCCCCGGUCAGCAUCGAUGAUUGGUUUGAGUUCUUAGCCUCUCAUACCAGUGACCAAAUCCUGUGGAGAUACCCACUACUUUUAUGUUCCAAGGCUUACAUACGGUGAAGAGGGCUUUAUUAUAUUAAGCUUAUUGGAUUAAUAGGUCUACAACUAUAUUCCCUGGUGUGUGUGCUCUGAUAUUUUAGUCAGACACAAAUCAUCUCUAUCUGAGCAAAUAUGCAAGUUUUGGAAGUCCUCUUUGGACCAGAUUCAAAGUUCCUAGGGCCAGUCAAAUUCUACAUGAAUGAAGUAACGUUCUCAUAAUAGAUUUGAGACGUGGACCAACAGAGUGUAUGCCAUAAUAUCAGGUAUGGGUUUGAGAUUAUCGUGGAGAUACAAAAACCCAAUCCAAAAGGGAAACAAGGUUUUGAGGAUAUUGGGAUGACUAUUGGGAUAAGGCAUUUUCGCCUUGGAAUCACCGUGGUCACGCCUGAACUGUGGGAUCAAAUGUACAGCAUAAUGCAAUAUUUGAAAAAUGCGGGAAUGGGGCUAGCAAUGUUGAGGCAUCAUCUUCACAUCCUCUACCAAUAUGAUCAGAAACAAGGACUAGGCCGACUCUUAGGAUAGUCUUUUUUUUAAUGUAUUUUGAGUUUAUUUCUUAUCAUUGUACUCGAUCAGUAUUUCAAUGAAACUUGGCCUUUUAUUUUCAAACUCAAAGUUUGUAUCAAGUUAAUAGCUUGGAUCAGUUUAUCAUAAUCUCAAUUACUUAAUGCUUAGGCCCUCCUCUUGGCACAAAAGAGGUCCCGUGCAUAAUAGGAUGUGUUCGUGAUUAUUGAAAUUUCUUUUUAUUAUGUGCUUUGUUUGCUAUAUGAUGCUUGCCUUUCUUUAUUUUCUGACGUUGUUUGCUUAGUUGUGGGUUAUUUUAUUUAUGCAAAUUAUUCUCUAAUACUGAUAUAUUUCUUUAUUUUGAAGGUUUUUUUUUUUUUUUUAAUUUAUUUCCCAAUGGUUGAUUUGUGUUGACUACGAAUCGGCUGAUCACCCAUACUUUGUGAGAUCAAAAGCACGAGCAAACGCUAAUAUGACUAAUUCAGGUACAUCUGACGGCUUAGGACUUGUCACCGUUCCAAGAGGUGAACCCGAUAUUUCGGGGGAUAGGGAUGCAACCCUUCAUGAUGAACAUAUAGUUCAUAUGAUAUAGCAAAUGAUUGACAUGCAAAGUGAAAUCGAUCGACUUCGAAACCUCACCAAACUAUCCAUUAGCGUGAAUACUCCACUUUCUGAACAUGGAACAAAAACCACUGUACCAUAUUCUUUUCCGCCUGUCCAUUCUCCCGUAUCUUAACACUUCCCACUAAAACCCUCACUCCACCAAACUAACCCCAUUUAUUCCAAUUCUUCCAUUAACCCAUAAGAAAACAACCCACAAUAAGUCGACUCGCGAUAAACAAAUCGGUUAUUCUUCACUACUCCUUAUGUUUCUCAAGCUUCACUUACCCAAACUCCAUUUACCCAAAAUCCAUAUACCCAAACUAUUCCACUUGCCUAAACUACCCCAGUCAUCCAAAACCACCAAACGGGCCCACAUAUAUCAGUGGCAUAUGCUGCAAUUUAUAAAAUGCAAUAUGUGCCACAAGUGUAUGUAGCGGGAGUUCAACCUUUUACUAUCCCGAUGCCAACCACACAAGAAGUUGAUCCUUAUGAAUAGAUGGAGAGAGAGGCAAGGUCCAAAGUAAAUAAAAAUAUAGCAAGGAGAUUCGUAGUUUAAAAGAAGCAUUCAAAACCAUCCAACAACAGAAAAGAUAUGAAGGACUUGAGUAUAAAGAUUUAUGUGUUCAUCCAGAUGCUGAGUUGCCGAUAGGGUAUAAGGUGCUGAGAUUUGAUAUGUUUGAUGGUACAAGGGAAUCCUUGAGCUCAUUUAAGGUCAUAUUAUGACAAACUAGUGGAAGUAGGGAUGGAUGAGGCCAUUAGAAUAAAGUUUCUCAUAAGGAGUUCGACAGGAGAAACUCUAAAUUGGUACACAAGCUAAAACCCACAAAAAUGGCAUAGUUGGAAUGCUUUGGCACAAGAAUUUAUGGAUAGGUUUAGGUUUAACACUGAAGUCAUCCUGGAUCGGUUCUACUUAGUAAAGAUGGAGAAGAAAUCGACAGAGUCCUCAUCUAUAUUACCAAUCUUUACUUGCCCUAUAUCUAAUUUAUGCCACCUAGCAAGCAUAUUGCCCACCUCGAGCACUAAGUUAUCAAAACCCGCCAUAAUAUCAACCUACCAUCCUCCUCAAACCCACUAUCAACUACAAAAUCAUCCUUCAAAUUCACCCAAACCUCAUUGGAAUUACAAAAAAAGUCCAACCAAAACUUAUACACCUCUAGCUGAACCUUUAGCCCAACUGUAUGAAAGAUUGAGAAUUGCAGGAGUACUUUAGCCAAUCCAAGGUAGAAUUCCCAGUCCCCUUCCUGGAUGCUAUGAUGGGAUAAAGCAUUGUGCUUGCCACUCUGGGGUUGCUGGGCAUGACACUGAGAAUUGCCUUACUCUCGAGGAUAAGAUUGAGACACUAAUCAAAUAAGGCGUUAUUCAACUCAAAGGAGCUCCCCUGAGUGUGAACAACAAUAAAUUUCCAAAUCAUGGGGAUGCCUAUGUGAACAUGAUCACCAUCGAUGGAGAAUGUAAUUUGGAAGGAACUAUUGUAUCAGUUGGUGUUAAAGAAAAAGUAGAAACAUUAGCUUUUGUCGCACCUAUAAUUACAGUCCAGAUGCGAGCGCCAAUGGAUGUAGAAGUUUUUAUUCCCAAGCCUACGAUCACAACUUUAGUAGCUCAAACACCUUAUUUAAAUACCAAAAUAGUUCCUUGGAAUUACUCGACUGAUGCAAGAGAUAGAGAAAAAGGAAAAUUAGUUAUAGAAGCCGCUGCUGGGGGAAUAACAAGAUUUGGGCAUUGUUAUACCCCUGAAGGAGUUGUGAAAGUAGUAUCUAAUAAGGAGAAUAGUCAAAGAAGGGUUGUGACAGAGGCUGAGGUAGAGGAAUUUUAGUAAAAAAUGCCAACUAAGGAGUAUUCCAUUGUGGAAUAGCUAAAGAAAACUUCUGCCCAAAUCUCUUUAUUAUCAUUAUAGAUGAAUUCUGCAACUCAUAGGAGUGUUUUGGUGAAGGUGCUGAAUGAAGCUUAUGUUCCAACUGAGAUGACUAGUGAAAACCCUUUUAGCUUUGGUGGAAUAAGUUUGGAAGCUAAUACAAUCUCUUUUCAUAAAGAGGAGUUGCCGCCUGAGGGCUUGGGGCAUAAUAGAGCAUUGAACAUCAUUUUCAGGUGUAGGGACAAGUUUGUUUCUAAAGUUCUCAUUGGAAAUGCCUCAGCUGUUAAUAUUUGUCCUUUUACUAGCCUUCGAUCUUUGGGAAUUGAUAUUGAGAAAGUUUGUGAAAGUAAUGUGAGGGUUAAAGGCUUUGAUGGGACUCAAAGAGGAGUUAUUGGAGAAAUUGAUUUGGUGCUACAAAUUGGACCUGUGGAGUUUAUAGUGGAAUUCCAAGUGCUGGACAUAUCUGCUAGUUAUAAUUUGUUACUCAGAAGACCAUGGAUUCACAGUGCUGGCGCAGUCCCUUCUACCUUGCACCAAACUUUGAAAUUUUUUUGGGAUUAUCAUGAGAUUUUGAUUCAAGGAAAGAAGAAUAGUUCUAUCUACCAGGAGAGCUCAGUCUCUAUUAUCAAACGAUUAUAACACCUGGAUGGAUCCAUUUUUUAUGCUAAGGAGACAAUGUGUGCUGCUCGGGUAGAAAGGUUAAAGUUUCCACGAGCACUUAUGAUGGUGGCCUGGGAAAUGUUGAAGAAUGGUUUUGUUCCUAAUCUAGGUCUUGGUGUGAACAUGGAUGAAAUACUAAAGCCAAUUCAAUUUUCUAAACAAAAGAGAACUUUUGGUCUUGGAUAUGAGCUUACUCUUGAAGAAGUCUCAUCGGCUAAUCUCAAAGAAAAGGAUAACAUUCUCCUGCCAAAGCCUGUCCUGCUCUUUAUCCUGUCAGUUUCCAAAGCGUUUGUUUCCCAAGUAUCAGAACAAGACGCUGAAGAAGACCUCCUUGAAAGAGUAAAAAACUUGUUCAUUACUGAAGAAGAAGAUGAGUGCAAUAUGAUUCUGGAGGAUUACAUUAGGACCCUGACUAUCUGGGAUACUAAGCAUGGAGAUGCUUUAAAAAAUUAGACUUGUACUCCAUCCCUAGUUCUACAGGAAUCUUGGUAGAUUAUUGUAUUAGUAUUUACAACAUGAUUCAAAAUUGAGGCCUGAAUCGUGUUUAUGAAUUCAUGUGUUUUGCCUCCACUUUUGAAAGCUUAAAUGCCAAAUCCAAACUAUGUUUUGCUAUUUUUUUUAAAAUCAUCUUUAUUAAUUGAUUUCCUUUCCCCCCUUUUUAGAAAGUAAACUAACAAAUCUGCCAAUACUAAGAAUGUGACAUAUAAUGAAACAAGCGAAACAAUUCCAAAUAGCGAACAAGACUUGCAGAAUAUGAAGAAGAUCCUUUGUCAGAAGAGUUGACUAAAGAAUUUGAACAUUUAAGGCAAAAUCAAUUUUGGAUGAAAUUGAGACGAUUAACUUGGGGGAUGCAGAACUCAUAAGAGAAACAAGGAUUAGUGUUUAUUUGACUACGUCCCAAAGAAAAGAAUUAGUUGAUCUUUUGAAUCAGUAUAUAGAUAUGUUCGCAUGUUCCUAUGAUGAUAUGCCGGGUCUAAGCACAAUCAUUAUUUCUCAUAUGUUGCCAAUUGAUCCAUCUUAUCCUCCUGUAAAGGAAAAGCCGAGAAAGAUGAAACCUUAUUUAAGUUUGGAGGUCAAGGAGGAAGUGUCCAAGCAAUUCGAUGCCAAUGUCAUUCUACUCAUAAAGUAUCCCACUUGAUUAGCCAGCAUUGUACCCGUGCCAAAGAAAAAUGGAAAAACUAGAGCAUGCGUGUGUUAUCGGGAUCUCAACAAGGCUAGCCCAAAAGAUAAUUUCCCUCUCCCAAAUAUUCAUAUACUCAUUGAUAAUUGCGUGAAGUACGAGUUGCAGUCAUUUGUUAAUUGCUUCGCAGGGUACCACCAGAUCAUGAUGAAUGAAUAAGAUACUGAGAAAACUGCUUUCAUCAUAUCUUAGGAAGUGUAUUGUUGUCGGGUAAUGACUUUUGGACUCCAAAAUGUGGGAGCCACUUAUAUGAGGGUUAUGAAUACUAUUUUUCAUGACAUUAUACAUAAGGAGAUUGAAGUAUAUGUUGAUGAUGUCAUUAUCAAGUCGUGAAAGAGCUCAGAUCACUUGACAAAUUUGAAAAAGUUCUUCAAUAGGUUGAGGGGGUAUGAUAUGAAAUUGAAUCAUGAAAAAUGUGUAUUUGGUGUCCCUGUUGGGAAGAUAUUAGGUUUCAUCGUGAGUAGGAAAGGUAUAGAAUUGGAUCCUUCAAAAAUAAAGGCUAUCCAAGACUUGCCUCCUCCAAAAAGUCAAAAGAACGUGAUUAGUUUCCUAGUCUGACUCAAUUACAUUAGUAAAUUUAUUGCACAAUCCACGGUGAUUUAUGAAUUGAUAUUCAAGUUGUUGAGAAAGAAUGCUGCUACCAAGUGGACAGAAGAUUUCCAGCAAACUUUUGAUAGAAUUAGGGAGUAUUUGUUUAGUCCACCCGUUUUGGUGCCCCCAGAAUUUGGAAGACCAUUGUUACUAUAUUUGUCUGUGUUAGACAAUAAAUUUGGGUGUGUUUUAAGACAACAUGAUAAAAUUGGAAAGAAGAAGCAAGCUAUAUACUUGAGCAAGAAGUUCAUGCCUUAUGAAGCCCUGUAAACAUUAUUGGAGCGUACAUGUAGUGCCUUGAUUUGGAUUGCACAAAAGUUAAGGAAUUGCAUGUGUGCAUAUACCACUUUUCUCAUAUAUAGGAUAGAUCUGCUCAAGUAUAUCUUUCAAAAGCCCAUGCCAACCAAAAAGUUAGCAAAAUGGCAAAUUUUGCUAAGUGAAUUUGACAUUGUCUAUGUUACUCAAAAAGCGAUAAACGGACAAGCUUUAGCCGGCCAUCUUUCUAAAAACCCUGUAGAUGAAGAGUAUAAGAUUUUUAAAACUUUUCCCAGAUGAAGUAGUUAUGUUCAUUGGAGAGGAUAUUUUGGAAGAAUAUCCAGGUUGGAAAAUGUUCUUUAACGGGGCUGCAAACUUCAUAGGAGUUGGUAUUGGGGUUGUACUAAUUUCAGAAUUAGGCCAGCAUUAUUCGAUCUCAGCAAAGCUCAGGUUUCCAUGUACUAAAAAUAUGAAAGAGUACGAGGCUUGCAUUCUUGGUCUUAGAAAGGCUACUUAUAUGAACAUAUAAGAACUAUUAGUUAUAGGAGAUUCAGAUUUAGCGGUUCAUCAAGUACAAGGAGAAUGGAGUGUCAAGAACGUAAAUCUACUUCCAUACCUGGAGUGUGUGAGAGAGUUGUGCAAAAAGUUUAUCAAUGUUGAAUUUAAACAUAUCCCAAGAACUCAGAAUGAGUUAGCAGAUACAUUGACAACCUUGUCCUCUAUAAUUCAACAUCUAGACAAGAAUUUCAUAGAUCCUAUCAAGGUGUAUGUACAAGAGUAACCAACAUACUAUUUUCAUGUAGACGCAGAGCUAGAUGGGAAACCCUGGUACUACAAUAUUAAGAGGUAUCUCAAGGAAGGAGACUAUUUAGAAGGCAUAACCAAUAUUCAGAAGAGAAUACUUUGGAGAUCAGAAAAUCAUUUUUCCUAAAUGAAAAAAUCCUUUAUAGGAGGACUCCAGAUUUAGGAUUGUUAAGGAGCGUUGAUGCUCAGGAGGAAACCAAGUUAGUCGAAUAAAUACAUGGGGGCAUGUGUGGACCACAUAUGAAUGGUUUUAUUUUGGCAAAGAAGAUUCUUUGGGUUAGCUAUUUCUGGAUAACAGUGGAAACAAAUUGCAUUCACUUUGUGCGAAAAUGUCAUCAGUAUUACAUUCAUGGUGACUUGAUUCAUAUUCCACCAAAUGAACUCAACAUGACAAGUUCUCCUUGGCUAUUUGCAGCAUGGGGCAUGGAUGUCAUCGGUCCUAUUGAGCUAUCUGCAACAAAUGGACAUAGGUUCAUUUUUGUAGCUAUUAAUUAUUUCACCAAAUAGGUAGAAGCUUCUUCAUAUAAGUUUGUUACAAAGAAAGUGGUGACAAAUUUUGUUCGCAAUAAUAUUAUUUGUCGAUUUGGUGUUCCUGAGUCUAUUAUAACAGAUAAUAGAGCUAAUCUCAAUAGUGGCUUGAUGCAUGAGAUAUGUGAGAAUUUUGAGAUUACUCAUCAUAAUUCCACCCCUUACUAUUCUCAGAUGAAUGGAGCAGUUGAGGCCUCCAACAAGAACAUCAAACGGAUACUGUGAAAGAUGAUUGAUAACUACAAGCAUUGGCACAAGAAUUUUUCAUUUUCCCUUCUUGGUUAUCGCACCAUUAUUAAGACUUCUACUGGAACAACACCUUAUCUACUGGUUUAUGGAAUAGAAGUAGUGUUUCUCACAAAAAUAGAGAUAUCAUCCUUUAGAAUCAUUCAGGAUCUGAGUUGAGUGAUUUCAAAUGGAUUCAAAAUUGGUAUGAACAAUUGAUGCUAAUUGAUGAAAAGAGGAUGAACGUAGUUUGUCAUGGGCAAAUUUAUUAGAAUAGAAUGGCCAAAGCUUUCAACAAAAAGGUAAAACUGAGAUAAUUUAAACUAGGAUAAUUGAUGUUGAAGCAUAUAUUUCCGCACCAGAAUAAAGCUAAAGGAAAAUUUGCACUAACUGGAAAGGGCCUCACAUCGUUCAUCAAGUACUGGCAGGUGGAGCAUUGAUCCUAGCAGAAAUGGUUGGUGAAGUGUGGCCAAAAGUUAUCAAUGCAGAUGCUCUUAAGAGAUACUAUGUUUAGAAGCCUUGUUUUUUUUGUAAUGUUUCUUUUCUAUGUAAUGAAACUACGAAAGACCUAGUUCCCUUGGGGGAAUACCUAAGAAACCCAUGUUGGGUUUGGUCUCUUAAGUAGAAAUUCACCAAAAAAUUCCUUUUGCUUGUAAUGCGAACUACGUUGACCUAAAUUUCUAAGCGGAUACGUGGGUGGCCACAUCGGCCUCGGUCACAUUAGAAGAAAAAUCAAAUAUUCCCCCUUUUUUCUAUUUCAUAUGUAAUGAACUACGUUUGACCUGAUUCUCAUGGGAUACGUAGGCAACCCAUGAAGGGUUCGAACCCUUAGUUUUAAACUUUAUUAAGUGGAUUUCAUGAGCUAUGAUCAUCCUGUUUCCCUUGGUGGGAUAUGUAGACAGCCUAUACAAGGCUCGAUCUCAUCAUAUUGGAACGCCAACAUCUCGUUAAAUCAAAACAGGGACAAUUUUUAAGGGCAUCAUUUUAAGAAAAUGGUUGAGAAGACAUCAAAAGAUAUUGAAGAAUAUGGGUUAAACCAAGUAAUUAAAGGAAAAAAGGACAUUUUCUUUGGAUAAAGGACGUUCUCAUUGUUUCACAAUAUAUUACAAUUCAAAGUUUGGCAGAAUUUUUUCUUACUAUGCAUAUUUGCAUAUUUUAUUUACCAAGUUAUUUAUCACUUUUACUUAUAUUUUAUUUUUAACUAUUUUCAAUCUAACAUUUUUUAUAAUCUAUCGUCCGAGAUUUGGAAUAGGUGGGGUUAUAAGUCCAAAAAAAGUUGGAAUCACGGAGCAUCAAGGGCCAGACCUUCAAAGUCAACACAAAUCAACCAUCCCCCAAACUUAAAAAAAUUUCUUUGAAUGAAGGUUCUACAGAUUAGCAAAAGUUAAGAAGUUAACAACAUUUGCAGUCUUGCGAGGAUUGCACCUCGAACAAUUUGAUUUUUCUUAAAAACAUCUAGACGAAAUUAUGCCUUUGUAGUAAUAUUGAUUAAAUGAUUUUAAAGAUUUUACAAAAAAUUUUAAUGCACUACACAUGGCUUCUAGCUAGUCUACAUCAAUGCCUUUAAUAUACUGUACAGUGUUUUCAAGUGUUUCAAAUGCACAAUAUUUAAUUUCAAUUGCCUUGCAUAUAUGCUUUAAAAUGCACCACACAUGCACUGCAAAAAUGCUUUAAAAUAUGUUAAAAUACAUUGCGCAUGACUUUAAUGGCUCUGCACAAGCACAAACGCAUUGCACAUUGCUUUAAGUUACUUUAAAAUGCACGAUACAUGGCUUUUAGUUACUUUGCCCCGUAUAUGCACUGCACAAAUGCUUUAAAAUAUUUUAGGAUGCAUUGCACAUAACUUUAAUGGCUCUGCAUAAGCGUAAACGCAAUGCACAAUUGCUUUAAGUUAUUUUGCAUUAUGCAUGACUUUUAUUUUUCUAUAGCACUGCAUAAUUGCUUCAAAUGAAUUGCAUAAUUACUUUUAAAUUGUUGCACCAAACUUACGAAUGCACCAAACAAAUGCUUUAUAGAAAUCCACUGCUUGCCAAAGUUAUCUUUCAUAAAUCAUUGGCUUGGGAAAAGCCCUCAUCCUUCAAUCAUUUGGCUGAAAAUGCCUCAUAUUCAUAAUUUACUUAGUUUAAGGCCUCAUUUUCAUCGCCGAAAGGCACCAUUCUCAUGAAUCAUCAACCUAAAACUUCAUUUUCCGUAAGCUUAGUUUAAGGACGCAUUUGAAUAAACUAACGCCCGAUAGGCGUUAUUUUCAUUAAUGCACUAAAUGCAUUUACUAUUUAUGUACUAAUUGCUUUAUCAAGGUUAAGUUUUAUAGGAACUUUAGCAUAAAUGUGGAACUAUUUCUUAGCAGUGAACUAGGAUAAUUUGUUGGGAAUGAGGAUCAAACUCCCCAAAAAGAACAAGAGUCUACCUCAAACAUCAAACGACCCUACUCUCAAAUCUCUUACUUGCAUUGACACCUCGAUGAUUAAGAUUCCUAAAUCAAUAUAUACUCAGUGAUCAUAAUUUGACACUAAGGCAAUCUUUGUAGCUCUUGUCUAUCUUCUUUUCCUAACCUACAAAUAUUACAAGUCUUGAACUACAUAUGACCUAUUUCUCAUGCAACCUGAGAUAUGUAGGCAACUCAGAGAUCGGAGUUCGGCCACAAUCCUCCCUAACAUUCUUUAUACGUAUCCUCCUAGAUCCUAUCGGCUGGGACAAAAUUAGGUUACUAGUCAACUUCGUUGUUCGAAAGCUCUUUCAUCAUUUCCAAUCAAAGAGGAACGACUGUUGACACCUAAUUUUAUUUCAUCUUUCUUUCAAUUCAUAUCUUCGCACUUCUAAAUAAUUUUGAUAAGUAAAAAAAUGCAUGUAUGUUAUUUCUAUAAUUAGGAGUUUAUGCAAGUCCCGCCACCAUUUGUAUUUGUUAAAAAAUAACUAAAAAUCAUCGACGACAUUAUUAUUAGUAUUAUUAUUAUUAUUUUUAUUAUCCAUUACCAUUUUUGUUAUAUUUUAAAUUAUUACCACAUUCUCUAUAAACUUUGGAAAAAGAGAUUUACUUUAAUUGAAUAAGUAUUUUGGUGACUUUCUUCUUUAUAAAUAUUAUCGUUCGAUUCCAAAUUUAUCAUGCAACUUUAUUUAAAUAUUUAUAUUUUAAUAUCAAAUGAUUUUUGUCAUUUAUUUGAAUAUCUAUAAUAUUUUAUUGUUAAAAAUGUUAUUUAAAUUAAUGUAGAAAGCCCAAAGAAUAUAAGAAAGAAGGUAUUUUAAAUCAUCCCAUUUUAUAAUAUUCUUGCAAUUUGACCCAAUUUCAAGAGACACCCAUAAAACCAAUCUUUUCUUUUCCCUUUUCCACCUUAGUACCACAUAGACACCACGUUUGCGCCACACAGAGUGCCAAAUGGUCGUGGCACAAAUCAAACAAACUCUUAUUGCACCCCUUCCAUGCCUUGCACACCUUGAACUCUCAUUUCCACGUGUCUCCCUCUUAUUGGUCAGUAAGCACCAAUUUAAAACCCUAGGAUCCCUUUUACCAUGAGUUACCCUAAAUACCUUAGCUUUUCCUAUACAAAAUACCAAUAAUGCCCCCAAAAUCAUAAAAAUUAUGCUUAAGUUUCUCUCUCUCUCUCUUAUUCAAUACAUGGUUUUCCCUUCCAAAUGGUCCCAACAUGUUUUUUACUCCUCAAGAAAAAUGGCAGACUCCUUUCUCCAUGGACAAAUUUUGUUUCUCCAUUAUUGUGUGAUAGCCAUAUUAACCACGUAAGGGACAAAUCCAUCAAAAUUCACGGCUUCCUACUCUAAACGUCAUGGUUGACAGGAAUUCAAAAUAAAAAACUCAAGAUCCUGUCUAAAACUUGAAUCCCUAAUGUUUCUCUAUAAAUAUUUGUGUUUGGGAUCUAUUUGAAGAAGGUUUUUGGCCAAACAUCCCCUCCACACAAAGGUUUUUAGCAACCUCCAUGAAUCUCCUCUAAAAGCUCGCUAAGCGCUAGAUCCUCUCGACCUCUUUAGUUUUCUUGCAAAUUUCAAAUCGGAGUUUGUUUAAAGUUAAGAAUCAUUGGUAUUUGGAUGUAGAUUCGUUAUCGAAAGAUUCUCUAGUUCACUACCCUGAAACAGGUCACUAAUAUUCUUUUAUUGCUUUGUAUUGUUUCUACAUUACUCUUGUAUUCUUCAUUUUUUAACCUGGCUCUGAUAUCAAUUUGGAGGGGGUGCGGAUAACUUGGGUAAUUUGCAUGGAUAACUUGUACUUGGAUAAUUAGUAGAUAACUAGUACUUACUAGUUCUAUCAUGUUAAUUGAAAUGCUAUGUCAUAACAUUCCUUAGUUAUUUGUUUUAACCUUAUUAAUUCUUCUAUAUUAUUUUUAAGGUAUACUAUAUGUUCCAUAUUUCUAGUUUUUAUGUAGUCAAGUAGAUUCUUUUUCAUAAGUGUUUCUAUUAAUCUUAUUUGCUCCAUAUCUUGUCUCCAAUAUUCUAAGUAUUCGUAGUUUAUCAUUUUAUCCUAUAGUAGUUGUAAUGCUGCAAAUUUCUUUGUAAUAAUUUAUUCUAAUUGUACUAUAUCUGAUAUUAAAUUCUAGGUUAUUUAUUUCGUUAAUUAUCUUGUCUCUUUCUUCUAUGAAUAAUUCUAUGUCUAAAUCAUAAUCUAAACUAUCUUUUAAUUCUAGUUGUUCCAAAGUUUUAUCUAUCCAAAUUAAUCUUUCUUUUAAUUGUCUUCUUCUUCUUUUAAGCUGGUUUCUAUAAUUAAUUUCUUCGUAUAGCCAGCUUUGUUUUUCUCUAAUUCUUCUUAUAUAUUCUAACAUUUUUAAUCUGUAUAAUAUCCAUCUGAAUAAUAACUAUCUAAAUAUGAGCAGUAGCUAUCAUUAUAUAAGUGUAAGUUUUCUAUAGAACUUGAUAACUCUUCAUUAAAAUGAAAUACCUUUUCAUAUAUAAUUUUCCUUAUAUCUACUAUUUCUAUAUCCUUAAGAACAUACAAAAUAAGUAUCUUAAAUUUAUCUAUCAUCCCAUCAGAUAAGUAGGUAGUCAUUCUUUUUUUUAUAUGAUGCUAUUUCAAAAUAUUCCUUUCAACCAUAUACAUAACAAAAUAUGAUCAUCUUAGAUCACUAUAUACUAGAUUAUUCUUAAAUAAGAUGUUCUUCGGUCACUAUUAGCAUAGUAAUCUGGAUACUUUUUCCCUAAAUAGCGCCUCUACUCUGGUUAUCCCCUAUCACGACUUCUUUGCCUCACCGGUUUCACCUUUAGGAUGACAUAAUUCUUGAAAUUUUUUUUCCUUUUUCUCUUUGCUAAUAAACUUCUUAACAUGCUCUUCUUCGAAUAAUUCUAUUAUAAAGUUACUAAUAUGAGCUUAUUUUAUUAUAUCAUGAUUGUCAGAAAUUUAUGAAUUUAGCUAUUCAUAAUUAUAAAUGAAAAUACCUGUUCUGGUAGAUUUGAUAAAUCUGUGCUUUGCUCAUCCAUUUCGUUAGAAAUAUAUCUGUUGUUAUUAAAUAUUCAAACUUUUCAGUGUACAAGAGAGAAGGCUUGCUUUCAACACAUGAAAGUCUUACGUUAUCUUGGCAAAUGACUUGCCUAUUUAUAAUCUAUAAAAGAUGAAAAAUGUGUAAAAUAUUUACUAUUCCUACUUUACACAUAAACUAUAUACUAUUCCUACUUUACAAAAAGUCUUUACACUUGUCCUACUUUUUUAAAAGUAGAAAAGACUAAUCUUUACAAAAAGUUCUAAAAAGACAAAACUUAAUUAAUGGCCUUUGCGAAAAAGUCGAAAAAGCUAAAUAAUUUACGUAUCUAAGUCAAGAAAACUAUUUACAUGUCACUUUCUUUCAUAACUCUUCUUUCAUAAGUCAAGAAAACUAUUCACAUGUCACUUUCAACUUUAAUAUCUUGUUUUGCUUUCUUUUCUUCAUCUUUAUCUUAGCUGAUUUUUCUUCGUUUGUUGUCUCUUUCUUUCUUUCUUUCUUUCUUGUCAUUGAUCCAUCUGCAUUUGUUUUGAUUAACUCUUGCCUUCUUCUUUAUUGUAAUUGAACCUUCGGUAUAACGUUAUCUUCUCCAUGACAUUUUGAGCAUAAAUGGUCUGGAUACUUAUGUGCUAUUAUCUUACAGUAUCUGGUCAAUAACUUUUCUGAAAUAAAUUUUUCCUUAAUUUCUUUGGUAGUAGGUUGCCUUUCUGGAUUAAGUAGUAUCAUAAUCUAUCUUUGGCCUUCCUGUAUAUCUGCUUGUCGUAACUCUCUUGAAUUUGAAUAUAUCAUUAUCUGGUCUCUUGAAUAAUAACUCCAAAUCAAAUGCUAAUUUGGAAAAUUAUUCGUUAACUCUUGGAUAAUUGUGGAUAUUUCAAUAAGCCUUUUAUUUGUAUAAAAAUCUGGUAUAUCUAUUCUUGGUAUUUCUGCCCGUGGUUCAAUAUUUUCUGGUAUGAUCAUAUCUUUUGUCAUUCCUAUUUUCAUGACUUGUAUAACUGGUUUAAUCUCAUCAUAUAAUAUCUCUGCUGGUGCUGUAUAGAACUUUACAAAAAAUAAAUUGCCUUUAGUUAUCUUUUUGUAAGUGGUGAUUGCUUUAUCUACCUUCGGUAUAACUGCUACUUCACUUUCGUCUUGGGUAUAUACAGUAUUGAGUAGUUCAUAACUAUAACAUGUUUUAACUAGAUUUGGGCUAGUUUUUGGUAAUGCAAUUAAAUUAUUGUAUCCUAGUAACUUUUGGGUUAUAAAAUCUGUAUUUGGUUCUUAGAUGUUAGUAGCUCUGGGGUUAAGAUUUAUAUAAGUUUGUAUCUUGUGGAUGUUUUCAUUAUAUUAUCUGGUUAUGUGAUUAUAGGCUUUCUUAUCUUGGUUUAGGCUAUCUAGAUAUAUGGUAGUUUGUGGGGGUAUGAACAAUGGGUCUUUUGGUGUUUUUGGUAUAAAUCGCUUGUCAAAUAUCUUGUUCAAGUUCAUAUUGAAUUCCUCCUAACUCCUUUGCUUGUACCUACAGAAGUAGAUUGACAAACGAUAUGGGUUUUAUGGAGUGUUCCAACGUCUCCUUUUAGCUCUG
rnacentral:lncRNA from 1 species